rnacentral:ncRNA from 2 species
UUAAUGGAUAGCAGCAGCAACUCUGGUGCUAAUACAUGCGAUUGUUUCUCCAGAUGUGAAUUAUGGAGGAAAAGUUGACCUCAUCAGAGGCACGCCAUUCGACUGAGUGACCUAUCAGCUUGUACUUAGGGUCUUUACCUAGGUAGGCUAUCACGGGUAACGGGCGGUUACCGUCGGACUGCCGGAGAAGGCGCCUGAGAGAUAGCGACUAUAUCCACGGGUAGCAGCAGGCGCGAAACUUUCCCACUCGAGACUUUCGGAGGAGGUAAUGACCAGUUCCAUUGGUGCCUUUUGGUACUGUGGAUAGGGGUACGGUUUUCCACCGUACCGAAACCUAGCAGAGGGCCAGUCUGGUGCCAGCAGCUGCGGUAAUUCCAGCUCUGCGAGUUUGCUCCCAUAUUGUUGCAGUUAAAACGCCCGUAGUCUGAAUUGGCCAGCAAUGGUCGUACGUAUUUUUACGUUCACUGUGAACAAAUCAGGACGCUUAGAGUAUGGCCACAUGAAUGACUCAGCGCAGUAUGAAGUCUUUGUUUUCUUCCGAAAACAAGCUCAAUGAGAGCCAUCGGGGGUAGAUCUAUCUCAUGACGAGUGGUGGAAUACUUUGACUCAUGAGAGAGAAGCUGAGGCGAAGGCGUCUACCUAGAGGGUUUCUGUCGAUCAAGGGCGAGAGUAGGAGUAUCCAACAGGAUUAGAGACCCUGGUAGUUCCUACCUUAAACGAUGCCGACAGGAGUUUGUCAUUUGUUAAUGGCAGAAUCUUUGGAGAAAUCAUAGUUCUUGGGCUCUGGGGGAACUACGACCGCAAGGCUGAAACUUGAAGGAAUUGACGGAAGGGCACACCAGGGGUGGAGCCUGUGGCUUAAUUUGAAUCAACACGGGGAAACUUACCAGGACCAGAUGUUUUUUAUGACUGACAGGCUUCGGGUCU